rnacentral:rRNA from 1 species
UAACGAAUAUUGGGCAAUGGGCGCAAGCCUGACCCAGCGACGCCGCGUGCAGGAGGAAGUCCUUCGGGAUGUAAACUGCUGUCAGGGGCUAGCAAGCAAAGGGUGUUAACAGCAUCCGGCGUUGAGCCGCCCCAGAGGAAGCCACGACUAACUCUGUGCCAGCAGUCGCGGUAAGACAGAGGUGGCAAGCGUUGUUCGGAAUCACUGGGCUUAAAGCGCGUGUAGGCGGCUCGGAAAGUGUCGUGUGAAAUCCCAGGGCUCAACCCUGGAACUGCGCGGCAAACUCCCGGGCUUGAGGCCGGUAGAGGUGCCUGGAACUCUCGGUGGAGCGGUGAAAUGCGUAGAUAUCGAGAGGAACGCCGGAGGCGAAAGCGGGGCACUGGGCCGGUUCUGACGCUGAGACGCGAAAGCGUGGGGAGCAAACA